rnacentral:rRNA from 1 species
UACGUAGGAUGCAAGCGUUGUCCGGAAUUACUGGGCGUAAAGGGCGCGCAGGCGGUUUGCCAAGUCAGAUGUGAAAUACUCCGGCUUAACCGGAGGGGGUCGUUUGAAACUGGCAGACUAGAGUGCAACAGAGGAUAGUGGAAUUCCCGGUGUAGUGGUGAAAUGCGUAGAUAUCGGGAGGAACACCUGUGGCGAAAGCGGCGCACUGGACCACAACUGACGCUGAGGCGCGAAAGCUAGGGGAGCAAACAGG